GCCUGGGUGGAGCUCAGUUGGCAGAGCGUUUGCUUAUUAUACAAAAGGUCCUGGGUUCGAUCCUCGGCAUAGGCU